UACGGAGGGGGCUAGCGUUGUUCGGAAUUACUGGGCGGAAAGCGCACGUAGGCGGACUGGAAAGUCAGAGGUGAAAUCCCAGGGCUCAACCUUGGAACUGCCUUUGAAACUCCCGGUCUUGAGGUCGAGAGAGGUGAGUGGAAUUCCGAGUGUAGAGGUGAAAUUCGUAGAUAUUCGGAGGAACACCAGUGGUGAAGGCGGCUCACGGGCUCGAUACUGACUCUGAGGUGCGAAAGCGUGGGGAGCAAACAGG
rnacentral:rRNA from 1 species